GACGAACGCUGGCGGCGUGCCUAAUACAUGCAAGUCGAACGCUUCUUUCCUCCCGAGUGCUUGCACUCAAAUGGAAAGAGGAGUGGCGGACGGGUGAGUAACACGUGGGUAACCUACCCAUCAGAGGGGGAUAACACUUGGAAACAGGUGCUAAUACCGCAUAACAGUUUAUGCCGCAUGGCAUAAGAGUGAAAGGCGCUUUCGGGUGUCGUUGAUGGAUGGACCCGCGGUGCAUUAGCUAGUUGGUGAGGUAACGGCUCACCAAGGCCACGAUGCAUAGCCGACCUGAGAGGGUGAUCGGCCACACUGGGACUGAGACACGGCCCAGACUCCUACGGGAGGCAGCAGUAGGGAAUCUUCGGCAAUGGACGAAAGUCUGACCGAGCAACGCCGCGUGAGUGAAGAAGGUUUUCGGAUCGUAAAACUCUGUUGUUAGAGAAGAACAAGGACGUUAGUAACUGAACGUCCCCUGACGGUAUCUAACCAGAAAGCCACGGCUAACUACGUG
rnacentral:rRNA from 1 species